AUGCACGCGGAUCUGCUGGGUGGCUGCCUUGGGGGCUCCUGGGUCUGCGGUGGCGCGAGAUCCGCGCGACAAGAGGCGCUGGGAGGUCGCUUCGGGUUUGUCUGGCACGUGGAGGUUAGGCGUCAGGGUUCUGAGGGACUCGAAGUGGCCCGGCCCGAUCUGGGUUCUGGCAAGCCUGCGGCCAAUUUCUUGCUGCCCGGCGGCGUCUGGAUGGUGGGGGCUGUAGCGGUGCCGGCGGAGGUUGGUGGGUCCCUCCCUUCGAGCAUUUUCAUGUCCAGCUCUUGGAGCAGGGGCGCGUCAAGCCUGUCGGUGCAUGAAGAGUCUCGAGCAAACCAGAUCCAGCACGGAUGUCCGGUCCUUUGCACGCAGCGAUGUGGGCCCAUUAGUUUUUGUCUUGGUUUUCGCCCUGUUCUAACGCGGGCCGGUCUGUUCUGGUUCUGCAUCUGUUUUCCUGUUGCGUGCGGUGCGGUCUCUCGCCCACAUCUGCGCAUGGAGGCAGAGGAUGGCCAGAACCGACUUGGUUCGCCCAAGUCCUGCGUGCGGCGGUGCGAACCGGCCAGGGUGGCGUGUGCUCGCUGGCUUUCUGCAUGCGGCGGUGACAAUCUUCGUGUUUGGCAGUGUGUGCUUGGUCUUGCUCUGCCCAGUGGCGCUUGGUUGGUCCCGGAUCUUGGAUGGCUGGUAGAAGACUCGACUUCGGAUGAAAAUCCUGCAUUGACUCUGUCGAUGCCAAUGGUAAUGGCAUAUACGGAUGUCGUCUUCUUCCUUGGAGGUAUCCUUGUGGAGCUCGUUGCUCUUCCUACCCCAUGGCUGAGGUCUCCGGAUGAAAACCUAAGAUCUGGCUCCAUCGUCCUUGAUAUCACUUCCUCCUUGGAGGCGUCAUCUUGGAGACCUCGGCGAUGGAUUCCGAUGGUGUGCAUGGUUGCUGGAGGAGCUUGGGUUUGUGAUGGUGCCGGUAGGAUCCUUUUUUCUUUCUUUUCUUUUUGCACUAGCCUUUUUUCUGUGCUUUCCUCCUUUGGAGGGGCUCUUGUAACACCUUCUUCUAAUCAAUGA
rnacentral:rRNA from 1 species